rnacentral:lncRNA from 1 species
UUUUAAUUGUGUACCAAUUGAUGUAACUGUAUUAAAUAUCUCUGAGUGUUAUAAAAUUGUAACUGUGUGUAGUGUGUUGAAACUUAAGUAUAAUCAUAAUUUAUAUAUUAUUAACUAUGACAUUUACAAAUACAGUUAAUCUAUGUAGUCUCAACGUAAACGGAAUUAAUUCAAGAGAAAAAAGAAAUAGAGUUAUAGAAUGGGUUACCGCUCAAAAA